AGUGCAAUCUUGGCUCGCUGCUGCCUCAACUUCCCGGGCACAUUCUACGCCAGGGGUGGCAUGAUCCCAUUGGCAUCUUGGGGGGGUGGGCAUUCUCCAGUUUGUGCUGCAGGUGCCUGAGAGGCAGGUGGAUUGCCGCGUGCAGCUUUACCACUUGAGCCUCCGCCUGCCCUAUGUGGAGAGCAGCAGUCACCUGAAGGUGCAGUACAAUGGGCGGCCGCUGUUUGUGGCAGGCGGGCAGUGGAAGGACACAUCUCGGGCCACCCUGUGGAAGUGGGAAGGAGCCUUGAACCUGGAUAGUCCAUGGCUGAUGGUCUCUGCAGCUCACAGGCUAUACUGGCCACACCGAGCUGUGUUCCAGGCUGUCCUGGAGCUAACGCUGGGCAAGGCCUGGACCCUAA
rnacentral:lncRNA from 1 species